GGGGUCUUGGCUCAGUGGUAGAGCGCUUGCCUAGCAAGCGCAAGGCCCUGGGUUCGGUCCCCAGCUCCG
rnacentral:tRNA from 1 species